rnacentral:rRNA from 1 species
GAGUUUGAUCCUGGGUCAGAUUGAACGCUGGCGGCAUGCUUUACACAUGCAAGUCGAACGGCAGCAUGGGCUUCGGCCUGAUGGCGAGUGGCGAACGGGUGAGUAAUGCAUCGGAACGUGUCCCGUAGAGGGGGAUAACCAUCCGAAAGGAUGGCUAAUACCGCAUAUGCUCUAUGGAGGAAAGCAGGGGACCUUCGGGCCUUGUGCUAUGGGAGCGGCCGAUGUCGGAUUAGCUAGUUGGUAGGGUAAAGGCCUACCAAGGCGACGAUCCGUAGCUGGUCUGAGAGGAUGAUCAGCCACACUGGGACUGAGACACGGCCCAGACUCCUACGGGAGGCAGCAGUGGGGAAUUUUGGACAAUGGGGGCAACCCUGAUCCAGCCAUGCCGCGUGAGUGAAGAAGGCCUUCGGGUUGUAAAGCUCUUUUGUACGGGAAGAAGAAGUUAGGGUUAAUACCCCUUGACUGAUGACGGUACCGUAAGAAUAAGCACCGGCUAACUACGUGCCAGCAGCCGCGGUAAUACGUAGGGGUGCAAGCGUUAAUCGGAAUUACUGGGCGUAAAGCGUGCGCAGGCGGCUUGUUGUGUCUGCUGUGAAAUCCCCGGGCUUAACCUGGGAACUGCGGUGGAAACUGACAAGCUUGAGUGUAGCAGAGGGGGUGGA